rnacentral:rRNA from 1 species
CCUACGGGGGGCUGCAGUAGGGAAUUUUGCGCAAUGGGCGAAAGCCUGACGCAGCAACGCCGCGUGCGGGAAGAAGGCCCUCGGGUUGUAAACCGCUUUCAGCAGGAACGAAAAUGACGGUACCUGCAGAAGAAGCCCCGGCCAACUACGUGCCAGCAGCCGCGGUGAUACGUAGGGGGCGAGCGUUGUCCGGAUUCAUUGGGCGUAAAGAGCUCGUAGGCGGUUCGGUAAGUCAGGUGUAAAAACUCCAGGCUCAACUUGGAGAGGCCACCUGA